UUCGAUCGUAACAAGGUGGCAGCGCGGCCCCCUGGGCUGGCGGGCUUCGGGGCUGGUCCCGCAAGGGCCCAGUUCCGGGAGGGCCCAGUUCCGGGGUUAUCUGCUCGAUUGCGUGUCUUUUUUCCCACACCCAGUGAAAACUGAGUUGUGGCCUGAAAGGGACACAGCCAAACCAAACUCUGAAGAAAAGGCUAGCACACGUUGCUGGUCACUAACGAAAACAACUCUCAACAACGGAUAUCUUGGCUCUCGCAACGAUGAAGAACGCAGCGAAAUGCGAUACGUAGUGUGAAUUGCAGAAUUCCGUGAACCAUCGAAUCUUUGAACGCAUAUUGCGCUCGACCCUUCGGGAGAGAGCACGUCUGCCUCAGCGUCUUUUUAACCCCUCACACCCCCAUUCCUUGUCGAAUGGUGCCAAGCCCACGUGGCUUGCGGGUGUGGAAUUGGCUUCCCCAAUCGGCCUUGCUGCUGCUUGGGUUGGCUGAAGUGCAGAGGCUUGAGCAGGGACCCGAUAUGGGCAUCAACUGGAUAGGUACCCGGCGGCCCCACCGGCUGUAUACACGAAGUUGUUGCUUGUGGACCCUGCUGGAGGCCCGCAGGAAACACGGCUUGCCGUGACCUUAAAUUUUGACCUGAGCUCAGGCGAGACUACGGACUGAACUUAGGC
rnacentral:rRNA from 1 species